UUUAAUCUUUCACUAUACUCAUCAAUCAUAUCAACUCAGUAUCAAAGCUUCGUGGCACAACGACAACCAUGGACACACAAACCACAUCAGCUAUAUCUUCUUCUUCAGCAAGCCCGAUCACCACUCUCGUGAAUCCGAUUGAGCAGCAGCAAACCCUUCCUCGGUCAGCAAUGUUUAUUCCUCUGUCAAAUUACGCGCACCACUCUAUCUCCUUGAAACUGACUAGUACAAGCCAUUUGUAUUGGAAAACACAAAUGAAGUCCUUCCUUCAAGGACGAGGGCUCUUCGGCAUUUCGGAUUUGUAGAAGGCUCUAAACUAUGUCCUCUAUCUCAUGUUAUUGUUGAAAAUACAUCACUGCCUCAGCCAAAUUCGACUUAUGUUCUAUGGGUUCGGCAAGAUCAAUUGCUGAGGAGUACCCUUAUUUCUUCGUUAUCUCCUCAGGUUCUUUAUUUGAUAGUCGAUUGUACUACAUCCCGUAGUAUCUGGCUGACCUUGGAGAAUGCCCUUGCUUCUCCGUCUACUCGGAUCAUGACAAUACAUAUUGCUCUUCAAGAGCUCCGGCAGCAUGAUGAAUCUGUUACAGCUUAUUUGCAGCGAGCUAAGCAUUGCCAUGAUGGGCUAGCAGCUGCUGGCCGGCCUCUAUCCACAGCUUUGUUACCACUUUAUCAACCAGAAAAAGAAUUGGAGUGUAACUUUAUCUUUGGCUCUGGAGUUGCAAAUGACGCAAUCACUUCCUCGAAAAAUCUCAGUCAACGGAAGCAGCAGCAUGCCGAUACUGCUACUUACGACCCUUCUUAAGUGGCAAUAAUCAAGGGCGGAACCAGAAAUUUUUCCUGCCUUGGGCUAUUAAAUAAAUAUAUAAUUUUUUUAUGAUAAAUUAUUAAUUUAUAUACAUAAAUUUUUAAAGUUAAUAGUAAAGUUUUAAUUUAAAUACACUACCCAAAAUAUUAAAAAAUGAAUCUGAAAGUAAAAUUAAACUCACUAUUGAAGUUACAUCCUUCGAUGUUUUGUGGAAUAUAAUUCAUCUAUAAUUGAAUCUGAAUCGAUAUUGUAACAACCCCUCAACCGGGAUAAAAUAACAAUCUCAUGUCAACUGAAAAACAAUUUAUUAAAUUUUUUCCCUUCACGUGUUUUAUAAGUUGGACUUUAUAAGUUUACAAGGCUGUUCUCUUACUUUUUUUUUCUUGGAUUUUUUUUAAUGUUUUUCCCUUGCUUUUCUCUCAGCCUUUUCUUUUCUUUCUUUUCCUAUUCUGCUUUUGUCCGGUCGACAACAUAUAAAAGGAAGGAAGAAUUGAUUUGUUUUAUUUUUUAAUGGCAAAUAACCAUUCUACCCUUAAUGAGUCGUUUUGCUUUUAUUUGACGGUUUUUUUUAUUAGCACUACGUUCAUCCUAAAAUUUUAACUAGAUUUUAUUCAAUUUAUUUUAAGUUCCCUCGUAAAAUUUCAGCUCAAUCUGAUGGUCGGAUUGAAAAUUACACCCAAUAACAUAAAACUGGCAAAAUUAUGAUUUUUUAUCAAAUUUCUGAAUUUUUUUAAAAAUUUUGAAAUUUUAAACUAAGCUAAAGUAUCAUAUUAAAAGGCUCAAUGUAAAUUUUCAGAACAUUUUGAUAAUUCAAUCAAGAAUUACAAACCUUUUUUAUAUAAAAUUAAUUAAAAAAUAUUGAUAAAAUCUUGAUCUUUACUAGAGCCCACCCAAGCCUUUACAUCGCCAAGCCCUUGGGAAUAACAAAAGCAGGAACCAUGUAUGAAGGGAUAGGAACCAUGGCAAUUUUCGCUCCUCUUAUCAUCAACCAGGGACAGCCUGGAAUACCAACAAUUCGUGCUCUAAUAAUUAGUGGUCCCCUAAUGGUCAGAACCAGAGAAGCAUCCGAUGUCAUCUGUGCAAUAGGUUCAAUCACACAGCUCAAUUUUUCGCUCAACGCUUCAAUCAAUCUGAAUACCCGGCUGCCUAUAUAUAUGGUCACUCAUGUUCCCUCUACAGCCACUUUGCAAUGGCUUCUUAGGAUCAUCUAGCUGAUGUUUUAACGUUUUAACUAAACCUCCAGCUGCUUCUCAGUUCUAACUUGUUCGAUCCAAGCUUCAGGUUGAAUCCCUCCACCGUCAGCUUGAAGGGGGCAUAUUAUAGCACUUGAUAUAGUCGGUUAUAUAAUAUGUAUUUAUAGGUGGUCAUAUUUCCUGUUUUACAGCUGGUAUGCAUUAACUUUCCUAUUGUGUAUUCAAGUAAGUGCGCAUCAAAAACUGAAGCCUAGAAGAUCAUUGGCUUACAGUUUGCUCUCCUUGUUUCUUUUUGUGUCUCAACUGACAUAAAUAUAACAUUAUUCGUUCUGCGGGUGAA